rnacentral:rRNA from 1 species
GUGCCGUAAUCAGAUGAUUCGGCUACUGAAUUGAGAACGAUGAAAGAAUGUUAUCGAAUAUCUAUUGGAGGGCAAGUCUGGUGCCAGCAGCCGCGGUAAUUCCAGCUCGAAGAGCGUCUGUUAAUGUUGCUGCGCUUGAAACGCUCGUCGUUGAAUCUCUGGCAAUUGCCUACGGACACUUCUAUUGUGGUACCGUAGGAAAGUGCCUUUUUGUAUCUAUUCGUCGUUGAUUCACUUAAUUGUGUGUCACGUUCGAGAGCCACUUUCACUUUGGAGAAAUCAGUGUGCUCAUAACAGGCUUAUGCCUGCAUAUAACUGCAUGGGAUGAUGAAACUGGGCCUUUGACUCGUUUCGUUGGUUUACGAUUGCAAAGGCCAUGAUUAAUCGGGACAGACGGGGGCAUUCGUAUUGCGUCGAUAGAAGUGAAAUUCGGUGACCGACGUAAGACGAACAAUCGCGAAAGCAUUUGCCAAGAAUGUUUUCAUUAAUCAAGAACGAAAGUUAGAGUAUCGAAGACGAUUAGAUACCGUCCUAGUUCUAACUGUAAACGAUGCCAACCAGGGUUUCGUCAUAGCUUAUAUGCUUGACGAGCACCCUCCGGGAAACCUGAGUAAUCGGGUUCCGGGGGGAGUAUGGUUGCAGAAUCGAAACUUAAAGGAAUUGACGGAAGGGCACACCAGGAGUGGAGCCUGCGGCUUAAUUUGACUCAACGCACGAUAGCCGACUCGGUCCGAACACUUGAAGGAUUGACAGACUGAAAGCUCUUUCUUGAUUUAGUGGGUAGCGGUGCAUGGCCGUUCUUAGUUGGUGGAGA